GACGAACGCUGGCGGCGUGCCUAAUACAUGCAAGUAGAACGCUGAAGGAGGAGCUUGCUUCUCCGGAUGAGUUGCGAACGGGUGAGUAACGCGUAGGUAACCUGCCUGGUAGCGGGGGAUAACUAUUGGAAACGAUAGCUAAUACCGCAUAAGAGUAGAUGUCGCAUGACAUUUGCUUAAAAGGUGCAACUGCACCACUACCAGAUGGACCUGCGUUGUAUUAGCUAGUUGGUGAGGUAACGGCUCACCAAGGCAACGAUACAUAGCCGACCUGAGAGGGUGAUCGGCCACACUGGGACUGAGACACGGCCCAGACUCCUACGGGAGGCAGCAGUAGGGGAUCUUCGGCAAUGGACGGAAGUCUGACCGAGCAACGCCGCGUGAGUGAAGAAGGUUUUCGGAUCGUAAAGCUCUGUUGUAAGAGAAGAACGAGUGUGAGAGUGGAAAGUUCACACUGUGACGGUAUCUUACCAGAAAGGGACGGCUAACUACGUG
rnacentral:rRNA from 1 species